CCUACGGGAGACAGCAGUGAGGAAUAUUGGUCAAUGGGCGCGAGCCUGAACCAGCCAAGUAGCGUGAAGGAUGACUGCUCUAUGGGUUGUAAACUUCUUUUAUAAAGGAAUAAAGUGAGGCACGUGUGUCUUUUUGCAUGUACUUUAUGAAUAAGGAUCGGCUAACUCCGUGCCAGCAGCCGCGGUAAUACGGAGGAUCCGAGCGUUAUCCGGAUUUAUUGGGUUUAAAGGGAGCGUAGAUGGGUUGUUAAGUCAGUUGUGAAAGUUUGCGGCUCAACCGUAAAAUUGCCAUUGAUACUGGUAGUCUUGAGUGCAGUUGAGGUAGGCGGAAUUCGUGGUGUAGCGGUGAAAUGCUUAGAUAUCACGAAGAACACCGAUUGCGAAGGCAGCUUACUAAGCUGCCACUGACAUUGAUGCUCGAAAGUGUGGGUAGCAAACAGGAUUAGAUACCCUAGUAGUC
rnacentral:rRNA from 1 species